rnacentral:rRNA from 2 species
UGACACAGGGAGGUAGUGACAAGAAAUAACAAUACAGGGCUACUUCUAGUCUUGUAAUUGGAAUGAGUACAACUUACAUCUCUUCACGAGGAUCAACUGGAGGGCAAGUCUGGUGCCAGCAGCCGCGGUAAUUCCAGCUCCAGAAGCGUAUAUUAAAGUUGUUGCAGUUAAAACGCUCGUAGUCGGGUUUCGGGUCGGGCCGAGCGGUCUGCCGAUGGGUAUGCACUGUUUGGCGCGGCCUUCUUUCCGGAGACCGCGGCUACUCUUAACUGAGCGGGCGUGGGAGACGGAUCGUUUACUUUGAAAAAAUCAGAGUGUUUCAAGCAGGCAGCUCGCUCUUGCAUGGUACAGCAUGGGAUGAUUGAAUAGGACUCCGGUGCUAUUUUGUUGGUUUCGACC